rnacentral:rRNA from 1 species
UACAGAGGUCUCAAGCGUUGUUCGGAAUUACUGGGCGUAAAGGGCUCGUAGGCGGCCAACUAAGUCAGACGUGAAAUCCCUCGGCUUAACCGGGGAACUGCGUCUGAUACUGGAUGGCUUGAGAUUGGGAGAGGGAUGCGGAAUUCCAGGUGUAGCGGUGAAAUGCGUAGAUAUCUGGAGGAACACCGGUGGCGAAGGCGGCAUCCUGGACCAACACUGACGCUGAGGGAGCGAAAGCCAGGGGAGCAAACGGG